AUGCCUUUACCAACAGUUUACUACUGAACUCCAGUUUCCCCUCCUGUACCUACAAUCCUACCUACCCAGGGUUUCCAUUCCCCGACGGCACUCCAGGCGUGCCAGUGAUACCACCCACCGCCAAGGUCGGCGACCAUUAACCACCUAUCGACCCCUAUUGGGCCACACACGCACACUAUUUUCAAUCAUUUUUGUCACCAACAUCAGCGACCAUUAUUCACCUACCGACCCCUAUCGGGCAACAUACACACACUCUAAUCAUUCUCUCCCGUCACCACCAUCGGCGACCGUUAGCCAUCUAUCGACUUAUACCAGGCCACUCACACACACCCUGAUCAUUCUCUCUCGUCACCUAUAUCAGCGACCACUAGCCAUCUCUCGACCCAUACCAGGCCACGUACGCACACCAUUUUCAUUCACUUGUGUCACCAACAUCGACGACCAUUAGCCAUCUCUCGACCAAUACCAGACCACUCACACACACUCUGAUCAUUCUCUCCCGUCACCGAUAUCGGCGACCACUAACCAUCCCUUGACCCAUACCAGGCCACGUACGCACACCAUUUUCAUUCACUUGUGUCACCAACAUCGACGACCAUUAGCCAUCUCUCGACCUAUACCAGGCCACUCACACACACUCUGAUCAUUCUCUCCCGUCACCGAUAUCGGCGACCACUAAC
rnacentral:lncRNA from 1 species